UCGCUAUACUAGAGCCAAAACAACGCAGAGUGAAAUAAACAAAAAGGAUAUGUGGAUUAAGGCUAAUCAGUCGAGUUUAUGGGCAACAAGGGGCUCUAUACAAUAAUCCCUCAAUUAAAAAGAAGAGAAACCAAUUGAAUCCAUGUAUAGAUAAAUCUAUAUGAUUAAUCAAGCAAAAGAAGUUAAAAGAACAAUUAACAGAAUCCACCCCUAAUAGCUCCACCUAAACUAUUAGGAAUCCACUUAAUAGCACUACUUAGAUUUCACAAAAUAGAUUUAUCUACUUAAUUGGCAAUCCACCCAAAACUACAAGCAAUUAAGAAGCUACAAGUCAUUCAAAAGACAAUUCUCAAUUCAACAUCAUCUAAGGAAAUAAAUAGCUAAGGAAACUAUUUAUAUAGUUGUUGCGUUAUCAAAAAUAGCUCAAAGUGGCUAUUUUAGGGCCCUUCUUGCCGCCUAAGUGAGUUGGCAUCGCCCAAGUAGAUUCCAUGCCAUCGCCUAAAUGACUCUUUGCAUCGCUAAUGGCUCUUGUGUGUGCUCGGCAUUGCCCAAGUGUGCUCUUUAUUUCCCAAGGCUCUUAUGAUUCGCCAAGCUUGGCUUGAUGCUCGCCAAACUUGGCUUGAACCACAUCCAUCUCCAAAGUGUGCAUUGUGACGCCAAAAUGGCAUGGGCCUCGCCAAAGUUGGAAGGGAGCUCCUUGCUUGGCUUGUUCCGGGCUCCAAGCUAUCAUCCAUAUGCGGAAGCCCAUCCUUUUGUGCUCCAUACGAUCCAUUCAAGUUAUCACCAUAGUUCAUAUAGCUCAGGGUAUAGGUGUAGCACCAAUUAUGCUAUCCAUGCUCGUUAGGUCAACAAUGUGUGUACCAUGUGAACUUGUGCUAUAUAUGUCUUACAAAGCUCUUCACUUUUUCUUAUCCUAUUCUAAAUUCUAAUGUGAGAUUCACUUAAGGUGUCACAUGUCUUCUUUAGAAGUUUGUCGGUCCUUCUAGCUCUUUGGCCCGACCUAGUUGGGCCUGCGCUCUGUCGUUGACAUCACACUAAUCACAGUGCUGUAUAUCCACGCGCGUAAACUGUACAUCUAUGGAAAUUCCUACUGUUAAUUAGCCUUUCAAUUAGUGACACACAAGAAAAGAAAGAAAGAAAGAAGAGAUCACAUGGCAACCAUGUUGGCAUUAAACUUGUAGAAUACGACAUACUCAGCAGCUUGACUUUACAAAUGCUAAUCAAUAGGAGCUUGGGUGGAGUACAAUGGCAGAAAUAGUCAAUCCUAAACCAAACACACGUGUACAUAAUAUGGCUUCCACAUGGGAAUUCACAAUCAAAUGUGUCUUCUGAUUCAAUCGCCAAGUUAGUUUAAGAAGUCUGGCCUAAAGCCUUACUUUAAGAAGAGACUCUUAAAUUUAAUUGAUAAAAUUAUAAAUAUGUUUAUUCGUUUUUUUUUUUCUUUUUGUUUUAUAGUGAUGGUGUACAUGUCAUUUUAAAUGUAUAUUAACUAUUCAUGUGGCUACAUGUUAGUAUUUAUUAUAUAGUUUUUGAACUUGAUGUUAGUUUUUGAACGCCUAGGUUUUAAAAUAUUGUAUUGAUCUAAUCCUAUUUAGCUUCAAAAAUUAGUCAAAUUAACUGAUGGGGCAAAGAAACAUAUAAAUUGAGACAGAAGAAAUAUUUAUUUAAAUAAUAUCUAAUUGUUUCUAAAUAAACUCUAUAAAAUACCCAAAAGACAAGAAUAAAUGUUAUUCUUUUUAAGAAAUAACUAGUAUAGGUACCCGCGCGAUGCACAGUAUUUUUAUAAAAAAUAUUCAUUAAGAAAAUAUUAGCUUGUUUAUUUUGAAAUUAUAAAAUUAAUCAAUUUUUGUUAUAUCACGUUAACUAGUUCAAAAAUCAUUGAAAUAUUAAAAUAAUUAUUAAUAGUAAAAUUACAACUUAUAUAUAAUAAUUAAUCAUAAUUUUAAUUAUUUUAGAUAUUUUGAUAUGAAAAGAACCAUAUGAAUAAAUUUUUGAAUCAUAUUCCAUUGAUUGAUUUUUAAAAUUCAUAAAAUAUGAAAUAUUAAAUAAUUGUUAUUUUUUUUGCUGGUCUUUUACUUUUAUAUUUUUAAUCAAUUAAGAUGUAUAAUAAUAUUCUUAUUUUUCAUUUAGAAUUUCAUUUUUUUUUAGGUCUAUCAAUUCAACUUUAACAGUUAAUUACACUUUAUUUUUAAAAAAAGAUCUUUCAAUUCAUUUUCAAACACUUAAAGUACUUAAUUGUAUCAAUUACAAAAAUUUUUAUUCCAAAUUUUAAAUUUUACAACUCUCAAUUGAAAAAGUAAGAACAUAUUUAUUAUUUUCUUUUAGAUUUUAUUCUUUGUUCUAUUGUUUAGUUUCAUCUCCCUCCCCCAGCCAAAUUUUAUACUCCCUCCAUUCCACAAUGAGUUAAUUAUUGGAUUUUGGCACACAUGUUAAAAAAAAAAAAGCAAAGACAUAAAUUUAUCAUAUUUUUUUUAUUUUUUACCCUCUUCAAAAAGUAAAAGACACAUGAUACAUCAUUUUUAAUGCACAUUUAAUGGAGGGUAAAUUUGGGAAAAAAUCUCAACAUCUACCUUGAAUUGCGAAUCAUUCACUUAUUUUGAAAUACUAAAAUUACUCCAAUAAUUCACUUGUUGUGAAACGGAGGAAGUACCUUUUUAACUUAUUUAACUUUUUGUUUAAACUUUUUCCUCACCCCCACUCCCAUGCAAAACCCCUAAAGGAAAAAAUUUGUUAAAACUUUUUCCUUGUCCACUCACCCCCCGACCCAACCCAAAAUCCCUAGAGAAUUUUUUUUUUUUUACCCCACCUACUCCUAACCCCGAUCCCCUACAUAAUUUAUUUUAAUUAUUGAAACACUUUUUUAAAAAUUAAAAUAAAUCUUAUAAGAAAAUUUUAAUUGCAAUGUUCCACUAAACGUCAUAUUUUCACGGAUCUUUAUAAAUAUCUUAAUGUCUACAAAUUUAAAUUCAAAUUCAAUAACAUAUAUAUAUAUCCUUUUCUUUGAUGUUCUUUUUCUUUCUUUUACAUUAACAAAGCGAAUUUAAAAAAAAUUGAUUUAUCCUAAUUUAAGUUUAAUUUUGAAUUCAAAUUCAAUAAUAUAUCCAUAGAAAAUAUUUUGAUAAAAAAAAAAGACAAUUUAUAUAUUUAAAAAUAUAAAAUUCUAGCAUACUUUGUCUUUUCUUUCUUUUAUGUUAACGAAAUGAAUUAUUUUUCUUUUUAAAAAAAUGGAAACAUAUUACAUUAGUUUCAAUUCAACUUUAAUUUAAAUUUAAAACUUAAUAAUGACAUAUGUGUUUGUGAAAAAUAUUUUUUAAAAGAAAUGCACUAUAAAGGAAAAAAUUUAGCAAGACAAACUAAUAGAUUUAAACGGUUGAUUUUUGAAAGAAAAAAGACAAAGUAUCCAUGCGAUCUGCAUAUGUAAUUACCUUAUGCUUCUUCUGUUAUUCCUUUCCAGAUUUUUGACUCUACGCUGUCAUUUUCAAAUUUUAUUGAUUAUUCAAAAAUAGGUAUAUAUGAAACCAACCUUUUAUUUAAUAAUAAAAAAUAUUUAUUAACCCAAGCAACCUAGCACAAUAAAAAAAAAAAAAAGAGGUCAACGUUCAAUAUAUAAAAAUAUUUCAUGACAAUCAUUGAUCCAAUUCUUCACGUCCAAACAAUACAAAUUG
rnacentral:lncRNA from 1 species